UCUGUAAAAGGAAGCUUACUGGAACACCUCUGAGGAUUCUUCCAUCUUCUACAGCAUGUGAAAGAAACAGGUCAACGUAUGGAAAUAUACAAACACAAUCACAGCUAAUGUGAAAACAUUGAGAAGCCUAUUUCAAUUUGGACAAAUCUUCAGUUUAAUGAAGAGUCCAGAAUCAGAAGUUGUGGAUCUUUCAGACAAACGGAUUUUGAUAGAGAAAUCACAAGGAAAAACUUGAGCUAUGCUAACAUUUACAAGAUUAUAUUAGUAACCAAGCUGUUUAAGUAUUAGUAUAAUUGUUACUUAUAGGAU